rnacentral:rRNA from 1 species
CCCUUAGAUGUUCUGGGCCGCACGCGCGCUACACUGACUGGUGCAACAAGUGUCGCUCCUUGGCCGAUAGGCCUGGGCAAUCUUUGAACGCCAGUCGUGAUGGGGAUAGAUUCUUGCAAUUUUUGAUCUUCAACGAGGAAUUCCUAGUAAACGCGAGUCAUCAACUCGCAUUGAUUACGUCCCUGCCCUUUGUACACACCGCCCGUCGCACCUACCGAUUGAAUGGUCCGGUGGACCCUCCGGAUCGGCCCGCGCCAACGCAAGUUGAGCAAAGGCCGAGAAGUUGGGUAAACCUUACCAUUUAGAGGAAGGUGAAGUCGUAACA